UUAGUUACUCCAAAUCCGACGUUCGUAAAAAAAGACCAGGUGAACUACCUACGAGCCGCCGUCACCACCAUGUCACAGCCUCAUUUCCUCCUAGUGACCUUCCCUGCACAAGGCCACAUAAACCCAACCUUACAAUUUGCCAAGCAUCUUAUACGUAUUGGCGUACGUGUAACUUUCGUCACCUGCAUCUCGGCUUGCCGCCGCAUGACCAAAGUCCCCACUGCUCAGGGCCUAACGUUUUUACCCUUUUCCGAUGGCUACGACGACGGUUUUCAACCCGGCGAUGACAUAGAACAUUACCUAUCUGAAUUGAGGCGACGAGGCAAAGAAGCCAUCUCCGAGUUUAUAACAAGCAGUGAAAACGACGGCAAAUCCGUCACUUGCAUUGUCAACACCCUGUUCAUCCAUUGGGCCUCGGAGGUGGCGCGUAAACAUCACAUCCCGACAGCUUUACUUUGGAUUCAACCCGCCACCGUUUUCGACAUCUAUUAUUUUUACUUCAACGGAUACGAAUCCACCAUUAAAGCUCCUGUUGAUGAAACAAACCCCAAGCGUUCAAUAAAAUUACCAGGCCUGCCGCUACUCGCCACUCGCGACCUUCCGUCGUUCGUCACCGCUUCAAACGUUUACCGUUGGGCACUGUCGUUGUUCCAAGAACAAAUGGAUGUCCUCGCUGAUGAAUCCAACCCCAAAAUCCUUGUUAACACAUUCGAUGCUUUGGAACACGAAGCAUUAAACGCCAUUGAAAAUUUCAACAUGGUAGGCAUCGGACCUUUAAUCCCAUCUUCUUUCUUGAACUCAAAUGACUCCUUGGAUAAUUCCUUGAGAACCGAUCUUUUUCAAUCCGAUUCAAAAGAUUACAUCCAAUGGUUAGACUCCAAACCAAAAUCGGCCGUCGUUUACGUUUCCUUCGGGAGCUAUGCUGUGUUAACGAAGCAACAAGUGGAGGAAAUCGCUCGAGCUUUAAUAUCCAGCCGGCGACCCUUUUUAUGGGUGGUGAGGAACCGGAAAAAUGGAGGCGAAGAAGAGAAAGAAGAAGAUAAACUGACUUGCAGGGAAGAAUUGGAACAGUUUGGGAUGGUGGUUCCAUGGUGUUCGCAAGUGGAAGUAUUGUUUCAUCCAUCGUUGGGUUGCUUCGUGACGCAUUGUGGGUGGAACUCGACGUUGGAGAGCAUGGCGGCCGGUGUACCGGUGGUGGCUUUCCCUCAAUGGACGGAUCAAAGGACUAAUGCGAAGCUGAUUGAAGAUGUGUGGGGGAAUGGGGUGAGAGUGAGUGCUAAUGAAGAAGGGAUGGUGGAACGUGAUGAGAUCGUUAGGUGCUUGGAUUUGGUGAUGGGGGAUGAUAAGAAAGGGAUGGAAGUGAAGAAAAAUGUAGAGAAAUGGAAACGGUUAGCCAGAGAAGCCGCCAUGGAAGGCGGCUCCUUGGAUAUGAAGCUUAAAGCUUUUGUGGAUGAUAUUGCUGAAGGAUAUCGUAAGUAAAAUUAUCACUUUCAAAUCAAUUCACUGUUUCAAUAGUAGUUAUUUAAACAGUUAUUAUCGUACCAUGAAACUUGAUUAGGUUUUGCCUUGUAGUAAACAUGCGAAGGACGACCCACCACACAAGUUUAUGCAGAUAUGGUUUUUUUUUUUUUUUUGUUUAAUUUUGCUACUAGUCUCUAUACUUUAUGAAAGUUAUGGAUUUAGUCUCAAUACUUUAAUUUGACCAUUUUUAGUCCUGCACUUUUCAAAAUGUUCAAUUUUAGUCCCUAUACUUUUAGUCUUUUGAAAUUUUAGUCCUGAACCAAAUAAUAGUAGUUAAAUUAUUUUGUUUAAAUUCAAUUACUAGUCAUGUCCUAUGUGUACAAUUAUAGAUUUAAUAAAUAUAUUUCCUAAUUGAAUCAUUUUAAGUCCCUAUUUUUUUCGAAUUCUAAAAUUUCCGUCUCGACACAAAUGAUAGUCACUAAUCCAUUAACUAAAAUUUCAGUAAGUAAUAUGUGAAAAUAUCAAACAGAAAUGCCAUUACACAUAUGAUAAUAUGUUUGUUGCAUCAAAUUUUGAAAAUAACAGAAUUUAAUGAAUUUAACAAUUAUCGUUUAGUGAAGGCUGAAAUUUUAAAAUUUAAAAAGUAAGAGAAUUAAAAAUGACCAAAUUAAAGUAUCAGUAUUAAAUCUGCAACUUUUGUUAAGUAAGACUAAUAAUAAAAUUUAACCUUAUUUUUUUCUUGAAAGAAAUUGAAAGUGACCAUUUAAGUAUAUAAUAUGUGAUUGGGAUUGGAGAAUAUGAAUGGUGUGAUAGAUUUUGAAUGUAGGAAACAAAAUUUUUUGAAAUGUGGUUGUAGGAUGGAGUGGGUUGGAUUUAUUUGUGUGUGGUCAAUGUAUAACUCUUUGCCUUUAUACUAUAUAAAAGUAUCAUUUUAUCCGUUUAAUAUGUAUAACUAUUUAAAUAUGUAGAAAUGUGAAAAUGUAUUAUAGAAAAGCCUUUAUGUUUAAUUUUUUUUAAAAUUUUAUGUUCUAAAGUCACUAAAUUAUUAGUAAAUUUAUGUUUUGAUUACUCAACUUCAAAAAGUUACAAAAUGGUCAUGAGUUAUUAGAAAAUUUUCAUUUCAGUUGUUCAACUAUUCAAAACUUUUUUUGUUUAAGUCAUUACGCUGUUAAGUUCUUUCUAAGUUCAAUUAAUGAGCUCCAACCGAUGAUUUAACAAUCGUAUGGUGGAUUAGUACUCAUCGACGAGUAGAGGAAAUCCCUUGAGAUUUUUUAUCCAGUCGGCAACCAUUUUCAUGGGUGGUGAGGAACUGGAAAGAUGGAGGCUACGAAGAGAAAGAAAAAGAUAAACUGGCUUGCAGGGAAGAAUUGGAACAGUUUGGGAUGGUGGUUCCAUGGUGUUCGCAAGUGGAAGUAUUGUCUCAUCGUCGUUGGGUUGCUUCGUGACGCAUUGUGGGUGAAACUCGACGUUGGAGAGCAUAGUGGCCAGUGUAUCAAGGGACUAAUGCGAAGCUGAUUGAAGAUGUGGGGGGAAUGGGGUGAGAGUGAGUGCUAAUGAAGAAGGGAUCAUGGAACGUGAUGAGAUUGUUAGGUGCUUGGGUUUGGUGAUAGGGGAUGGGGAGAAAGGGAUGCAAGUGAAGAAGAAUGUUGAGAAAUGGAAAGGGUUAGCGGGGGAGGCCGCCAUGGAAGGCGGUUCCUUGGAUAUCAACCUUAAAGUUUUUGUGGAUGAUGUUGCUCAAGGUUGUUGCAAGUAAAUUUAUCUUUUCAUAUAAUUAUCUACAUUUAUAUCUCGAAUUCUUAAAUCAAGAAAUAAUAUGUUUGAAAACGAUCAAAUUCCUUUUGUUGUAAUAAUAAUAAUAUCAAAUGACCUAAAAUUCGAUGAAAUGUUACAAAUUAAUUUUUAAUUUAUGUUUGUAUUAAAUUUACGCUUAAAUUAAUUUUGGGUUAUGGUGUAAGUUUUUUUUAAAAAUAAUUUUAAUGGUCAAAUUUAAUUAAUAACACCAUCAAUUGGAUUUUAAAUUUUAAGUCAAACAAGAGACAAAAGUUUAAAAAUUAAAAGUAGCGGAUUAAAUGUUAAAAAAAAUUGCAAAAGAGUACAAGAAUUGGGGGUAUACUUAGAAAAAAUAUUAAAAUUUUCUUUUCUCCUCCAAUAGUAGAAUCUAAAGUUACGCACCUUUAUAAAAUUAAAAAAGAGUUAAUUGUCCAAGAUAAAUAUUAAAUAAUAAUAUUUAUAGACUCGAGUACAUGAAAUUUAUUGUUGGUCAUUGAAUUUAUCAUUUAACAAUUACUUUUGUUUUGGCUAUUGAGAAAAUUUUCUAGCCCUUAUAAUAUAUAUAUCUCCAUAUUAUUGGAUGUGUUACUUUUUAUUAAAUUACAUUGCCUAAGGUUGCUUAUUGCGAUUAUGGUAAUUUGCUGCAUCAUCCCCUGACUAAUUCUUCUCAUUUUUAGUGUUAGCAUUCUUCUGCUUAAAAUCUGGGUCUCAUGUUGCUUUUUGAGCAUCACUAUACCAUUCUCCUCUUUAACCCACCGAAAAAUCUAGUAGGAGCUUUUGCUUCCGAUUCUGGAGAAGUUUCCUCCCUCAAAAGUACCCUAUCGGCUUCAGGAGAUGCUGCCUCAUCAAAAGUGUAAUAGCCCGAAUUUGGGCCUAGUCGAAACAGUAGUUUCGGGACCACAAAUGUAAUAUUUCAAAAAUUUCUAUAGUAAGAUAUUAUCCUUGGUAUAGUAAAAUAAGGAAAUAAAGUAAAAAAAAAGGGGGAAAUUUUGAGUUAUGUCAACAUUGAGAAGUAUGACAUAUUAAUGCAAUAAAGGAUUAAAUCGCAAAAGUGAGAAAAGUAUUGAGGGAUUAAAGUGUAAAUAUGAAAAAGUUGAAGGACCAAAGGUCUAAAUAUUUUAAGGGUGGAAUGAUCUAGAAACUAAGGAAAAUGGAUGAAUUAGGACCAAAUUGAAUAAGAUAAGAAUUAUGAGGGACUAAAUCGUAAUUUUACCAAAUUAAGUGUGACUCAAUGAUGGAAUUUUAAAAGAUUAUGAAGGGCAAAAUGGUCAAUUAGAAGAGAGAGAAAUCUAGAAGGCAAUGAUGAUGUUGGUGAUAUUUUAGAUUAAUUAAUUAAAUAAAUAUUAGUUCAUUAAUAUUUUAAUAUGAUUUUUAAAUGAUAUUUUAUUAAUUUAUUAUUAUUCUAUUUAGUAUAUAUAUGAAAGGAAAGAUGAGGAAUUAUCAUCUUCUUCCCCAUGCAACCAACGUAUGAAGAGGAAAGAAAGAAAGAAACUUUCUUUUCUUUACAAUUUGGUCCUUUUAUAAAAAAUUCACCAUUUUCGCUUAGAAAUUAAAAGAAUUUCCAUAUCCAUCAAGAGAGAAAGAUAACAAGGAGACUAUGGGGAGCUAGAAUAUCAAGUUAGAUUCAAGAAAUAGAAGCUGGAGGAGGGAGAAAAUCAAGUUAAAGAUUGAAAUCAAUUGAGCAAGGUAAGAAUAUCAAGAUUUCAAUAUAUUUUUGAGUUUGAUAUUAUUGAAAAGGCAUGAAAUUGAUGUUAAUGUAGAGUUUUAUUAUAUAAGGUUUUAUGUUCUUGGUAUGUUAGUGAAGAGAAAAUAAGAGAAAGUGAUGAGAAAUAGUGUAGAGAAAGAAAAUAAGAGUGUUAUAAACUUAGUAAUCAAUAUUUUACACUAAAACAGUUUGGACAGCAGCAGUAGGUUAACUUUGAAAAAUCCCCAAAAAUUGUGGGAAUUGAAUUAGAAGAUGAAUAAAAUAUGAAAUUAAAGCUUAUUGAGUCUAGUUUCUCAUAAAAGAAAUGGUGUAAGCAAUAGAAUUUUAAAUCAUGAUAUAUAAUAAAUUUUGUGAGACAAUAUCAGAAUGAUUUUGGGUUCCCCUGUUCUAACUUUGGAAAAUCAUAAAAAAUUGAAGAAAAAUAAUUAUGAGUUAUAAUUUAUAUGAUUAGAAUCCUUAAUAAAUCUAUUUUCAAAUUAAAUAAACAUAAAAAUCAUCCAAAUUCUGUACAAUUAGAUAAUUCAUUUUUAGUGAAGAGUGGUCGGAACUGUCAGAUAGAAAAAUAGGGGAAACUUUAAAGAAUAAACUGUACUAUUUGGAUGAACCAAAAAUUCUGAAAAUUUUAUGGCAAUAAGAUAUAUGAGUCUAGUUUCAGGGAAAAUUAAUGGAUCUUAAUUUGGAUUUCUAUAGCUCAAGAUAUAAAUGAUUUAGUAACUAUGACUCAAAUGGACAGCUUUGAAUAAAUUUACAAGAAAAUAGUGAAAUUAUAGAUAAUGUUACUUAUAAGCAUGUUAUGUAAAUUAAGGAUGUGGAAUGGAGAGUGUACAAGCCCAAUUUUUGACCCAGGGCCCAAUAACAAAUUUUAACCUAAAAAAACUACCCAGGCCCAACUAGCCUAACCCAAUCAGCCCAAAACAUAAACACCUAGCAGAAACCCUAGCCCCCUGUUGUGCCGCACCUGCUCCUGGCCGCCUCACCUGCUCCGCCGUUCACCUGCUUUCUGCCAUUGCCCAACUGCCCACCUGCAAACGAGUAAAGAAAGCAGCAACAACAACAAUGAAAAGAGGAGAAAUGACAGUGGUGUAAAAAAAAAAUGGGUACACAAAUGGGUAUAUAAAAAAGGGCGGGGAUCACCGAAAGAGGGUCUUUUCCUUUUCUUUUGUAAUUUUUUCACAACACAACAGUUAAUGAAAAAAGGCAGAGAAAACAUUUAAAGGUGGAUUCAGACUUUUUAUUCUUUUUUUUGUUUGUUUUUAUGUUUGCUUGUUUAUAUAUAUAUACGAAUCUAUCUCAACAAAAACGAAAAUAAAAAAGAGAAAGAGAGAAACUCACCGGGGGGCUUUGAAAACCCGUCAUCGCGCUUCGCCGGCCGUCGAUCUGGUGGCCGUGCGGCGGAUGUGCGAACGGUGGCAGCUAAGGAGGGCUUUUAAAAAAAACCCUAACAGAGAAAAAGCUAGAGGCUUUUUUGUUUUUUUUUAUCUGCUAUUACAAAGUGUAUUUUUUAGGGGAAAUUUUAAUUUAAAUAGGAUCAGCUAAACGGCGCCGUUUUGGGUGGGAAAACCCCCGCGCGCGACCCGACCCGCGUCUCAGGAUCCACGUGUUUUGAUGAUUGGGUUAUUUACCCAUUUGGCCCUUCCGCCCUUUUGGGGUGUUUCAAUCUAGUCCUAUUUACAUUUUUAGAUUUUAUAAUUUUCGCCCAAAUUAUUUUUAGCGUUUUUGAUUUAGUCUUGCACUCAUAGAAUGGACACGUGUCCUAAUAAUUGGGAUAUUUUCCGUUUUGGCCCUCCGUCCUUUCGCGCGAGUCACAUUUUGGUCCUUUUCGUCCUUUUUAUUCCAAAUUCGCCCGGUAUUUCCUUUUUUUAUUUUAUUUCGAUUUAGCCCUUUUUUAGUCGCUUUAUUAUUUUGUUUAUUUUAUUAUUAUUAUUAUUAUUAUUAUUAUUUACUAUUAUUAUCUUUACUAUUAUUGUUAGUAUUAUUACUACUAUUAUUAUUACUAUCAUUAUAUUUACACCUAUAUUUACUUAUAUAAAUCUUAGAUAAUAGGUGAUAUAUUAUAUUAUUAUAAAAUUGCGUAUAUACGUACAUGUAUAUGUAUUCUUUUAACUAAUUUUAUAUAUACAUACAAAAUCAUAUUUUCGUAUAUUUUUUAAUUUGUAUAUACAUAUACUUAUAUCUAUAUUUUCUAAUUUUUAUAAAUAUAUUUAUAUGUACAUACUUAUAUUUUUUAUAUACUUUCUAAUUCGUAUAUACCUAUUUACAUCUAUAUUUUUAAUAUAUUUUAAACAUAUAUAUAAAUAUCACUAUUUACUUUUUUAUUUUUAUUUUUUAUUAUUAUUUUCAAAUUUUGAUGUAUACUUACAUAUAUAUAUCUUUACAUUUUUAUAAUUUUAUUCAUUUAUUUAUUUACAUUUUCAUUAUUAUUUUGAACGAAUGCUUUAAUUUUAUUUGCUUGUAUACAUUGCUAUUUCGUAUGUUAUUGGUCUGUACCUUUUAUUUUUCUUAUUUUCGUUGCUAUUACUUGCAUUGUUUUUACAUCAUCGUAUUCAUAUUUAUUUAGUUACGCAUAUUAACAUCGUAUCUUAUUUUUACUGUUUCGUGAAAAAAAUAUUUCAUUCAAUGUAUGAAUUAUAACUUUUUGAGUAAACAAAAUUUCGUGUUUAGAUUUGAGAAAGUCGUACCCUAACUUACUGGGUUUCGACUUUCACAACAAAUCUAAAGACACGAAUCUUUUUAAACUCAAAUUUUAAAUGAUCUCGGGAUUAAAAAUCGCGUCCUAACUUACUGGUCGUGAUCUCAUUUUCAAAUCCGAGAUGGCUAAACCUAUCUUUUAAAUAAGCAUUUUUAUUCGCGUAUCGAGAACUCGAGACGUUGUAUCCUAACUCACUGGAUAUGAUGUCUUUUCUCGAUUAACGUGAAAUAUGCCACUUUUUCCAAGAUUUUCAACUUUUUAAUACAAAGAUCAUAUUUUUAAAAUUCUUUUAAAUUAUCAAUUUUCGACAUUAAGACAUUAAGUAAUCAACUAGGUACCAAUUUUGGGCGUAUCGAGGGUGCUAAUCCUUCCUCGUGCGUAACCGACUCCCGAACCCGUUUUCUAAAUUUCGUGGACCAAAACCGUUGUUUUAAUAAAAUCAAACCGUUUAUUAAAAACAACCCCUCUUCGAGGUGAUCCAAUCGCACCUCAUAAAAAAAAGAGGAUUGGUGGCGACUCCCGUUUCUUUUUUCAAAACCCAAGUCAACCCCGUUUUUCAUCCAAAAAAUGGUGUCAACAGCUUGGCGACUCCACUGGGGACACAGAUAAGAGGGUCAAGCCACGUGGUGAUUACUUUUUGUCUUUUGUCAAAAAUUGAAAAUUCGGUUUAAAAUUACGAUCCUUUCAUCGCAUUUUAUCUGUCUUUAUCAUAAUCAUCACCAUUAGGGUUUAUAUUUGCUCUGUUUGUUUAAAUUUUGGUAUCUUUCCGCAUUUCAUUGCAUGACCGUUGGUCACACCUUUAAGUGGGAGUGAGAAGCUACGCCUUCGUGAGGUUUUCACCUCCGCAUGGGAUAGUGAAUCGCUUUCGGGAUAUAUCCGUACCUAUGUCUUCGUGAGAUUUUCAUCUCCGCAUGGCCAUAGAGAAAUGUAUCCCCCUGAAUCGAACUUGGUCCGUAUGAGCCUAUAAUGGGUGAGGAUCGAGGAAUUUGCUGGUUCAGGUACCCUACUUUAGAACCAAACCACAUGUAAUGAGCCAUAGGAACCGACCUAGGUAGAGCUACUCCAAAUUUUUAGUGCUUACCUAAAUGAAUGUUGUAUUUAUUUGUCGCUUAUUUUAAAUCUUAUUCUGUGUUUAAUGUUAAUUUACUUUGUUUGUGAUUGCAUGGCAUCUUCAUUCUAAAAGAGGUGUCGAUUUACGUUCAGUUUCUUGGUAGAAAGCUUAUCAUGGAAAAGGGGUUUGUUGAUAAAGUAGAGGAUAAUGCGGCUGUGCAAAUAUGGGCUGAAACGACACAACGAGAGAAAGGCGAUAGUCUUACCGAAGGGUACGUGUCAGAAUUGUGGGAUUUUACCCGUAUCAGUGUAAUCCAGAAUGACCUUCGAGAAAUGAAAGAAGUCUGGGAUCAAUGGGAUGUCGAGGCCAAGCAGCUGUUCUAUUGUAACUACGGUGACCUACCUUAUCUGCUUAGUGUCAAAGUGGACAAGUAUUUAUUCCGAGCCCUUGCUCAGUUUUGGAAUCCUGCCUACAGUUGUUUCACUUUUGGGAAGGUAGAUUUGACGCCUACUGUGGAGGAGUAUACGACCUUGCUUCGGUGUCCAAAGAUUCAAGUCGACAAGGCUUAUUCCAAAGCUGCUUGUGUCCCUCCGUUGUUAAAGAAAUUAAUGAACAUCACUGGGAUGAGCGAGCAGUGGGUCGCUGUCCGGAUCCAACAGAAGAGCGACAGUAAAUGUGUUCCUUGGAAAAGUUUGCGAGAUUUGGUGCUUGUACAUCCUGACUUAAAGAAAAGGGUCGAUAUCUUCGCUUUAGGUAUCUAUGGACUAGUGGUUUUCCCCAAAGCUUUAGGACACAUAGACGAGGCUGUAUCUGAUUUGUUUGAUCGGCUUAGUAAAGGGGUUACACCGGUUCCGGCAAUACUCGCUGAAACUUUUAGAUCCUUGAAUGCGUGUCGAAAAGCAGGGGAGGGAAGGUUUAUUGGAUGCGCACAGCUCUUAUUGGCAUGGUUCCAUAGCCACUUCUGGAAAGUCGAAAAGGUCUCUUAUCGGGUAUUCUCCGAUAGCUACUCCCCUCUAGGAGAAUUGGUGGCCACGCCAAGACGGGAUGAUAUUUCAGAAGAAAAAUGGAUAGAGAUACUCCAGAAUCUCCAAGAUGAAGAUAUUGAAUGGAGGGCUCCUUGGUUAAUUCCUGAUGAGAUAUUGUACCGAUGUGGAGAUUUUGACUGGGUUCCGCUGCUCGGGAUAUGGGGAGCUAUCGGAUAUGCUCCUCUACUCGUAUCAAAACAGUAUAGAUCACGACAAUUCAUACCAGCAACCCAGGGGUUAGCUUAUAGUGAUUUUUCCUAUAGGGAGGACAAUUACAAGAAGAAGGUUCGAGAAAUAUCUAGUGCCUGGAACCAGACUCGUCGAAUGAAGAUCUUAGCCGUGGGUCCGACAAUUACCCCCGAGUAUGGUCAGUGGCGUGAUCAAAGGAUCAACGACAACAUCCCGGCGUCAAAUCCAGAAACUGCUCGAUCUUUGGAGGAACACUUACAAGUUUUGCCUUCUGAGAUAGAAAUCAUCAAACAAGAAUUCGAAAAAAGGAGUUUAGAAUUGGGGAAGAAGAUAGAACAACUAGAGGAAGAAAAAAUGCAGUUAGGACUGGAUGUGGACAUUCAAAGAUUAGAGGCCAACAAAUUGAGAAAAGGAAAGAACAAAGCAGAAGAAGAUUUGGACAGCCUGAAGACAGAUUACAAGAAGUUGCGUAGGUCGGUAAGAGCUGCUGGCUUGGGUAAAACGCCAGAACAAUGGCGACAAGAAAUUCAGGAGGAAAAGACGAAAGCUAAUCAAUGGGAAAAGAAAUUUCAGGAUACUCGGGCUCGAGAGGUCGCCUUGGGAAAGAGUCUACUAGUUUGCCAAGACGAGAAGACGGAGUUGAAGGUCCGGAUAACCGAACUAGAAAGAUCGCUUCACCAGUACUGUAAUCGUAAUGCUACGGUUGAAUUAAGGGCGAGCUUAGACAAAAUUGAAUAAUUAAAAAGACAAAUAGGAGGGCUAGAGAACGCAUUGCAAAAUAGUGAAAUCCGGAUAGAGCUUCUGGAAGAAAGUAAUGAGCAGUGGCAAAGACAAUUCCGUCGGUCUCAAGAGCAGAUUGGAGAAAGAGAUUAUAUUAUGGGAGAGGCGGUGAGUCAAGUGCGCGAAGUAGCUGAUCAUCUGUAAACUCUAGCGGUUCAGGCUGAUCUAUUAAGUUUGAAGUAUGAGUCAGAGUCGGACAGGGGCCGAGAAUUAGCUUGACUUCUUAGAAAGGUUAAGGCUUUGAGUGUGAGGGCAAAGCCAUAUAUGUAGUCUAUUUUAUGUAAAAAAACUCUUUAUCUAGUAAAGUUUUCUAAUGAAGUUGAAUUAGAAUCAGUGCCUCUUUUUCUUUGCAUCCUUUUCAUGCAUUGCAUCACAUCACAUGCAUUAAUGACCAUUAAAAACCUAAUCGAAUAAAAUCAUUUCAGUUAACCUGGAAAACCAACAAAGUUACGGCACCCGAGCUAAGACAAAAAUUAUGGACCAAAGGUUGGAGAAGCUAGAGCGACUUCAAAGAGAAAUGCAAGACCAGUUGCAGGCGCAAAUGAAAGAGCAAAUAGAAAAGAUUCAGCGUGACAUGGUGCAAAAGAUGGAGGAGUCCCAAAAUGAUCUGGUGGCUAAGAUGACGCAACUAUUGAAGGGAGUAGAUAAGGGUAAAGGUCCUGUGAUUGUUAGUGAAGAAGAAAACAAUGGUGAACCACUUUAUCCUCCAGGUUUCACGCCUCCGCAUGCGCAAGUACAGACUGAGCUGCAUCCGCGGAGACCCUCUGUGUCGGUUAGGCCCCAGCAGUUCCAAGGCGAUGCUUCAAUCCCAAUGAAUUUUCAACCCGGAGCGGGCCUUAAUCCCGGUGAUAGCCCGAAUAAUAUUGCUGUCCCAGAUCUUGACGAGAUGGUUGAAAAGGAUAAGGCGAAGGAGGAAUUUCCAAAACAAUUUGAGGAGAAAUGGAAAUGGAUAGAAGAGAAGUUUAGGGCAAUAGAAAGCAUCGAAAGCUAUGGAAUAGAUGCAAAGGAUCUAAGCUUGGUUCCGGACUUGGUGCUCCCUUACAAAUUUAAGAUGCCGGAAUUUGAGAAAUACAACGGGACUAGUUGCCCAGGAUCCCAUAUUACUAUGUUUUGUAGAAGAAUGACGGGGCAUAUUAAUAAUGAUCAAUUAUUAAUACAUUGCUUUCAGGAAAGUCUUACGGGAGCGGCGUCAAAGUGGUACAAUCAGCUGAGCCGAGCUAAAAUUGCUACUUGGAGGGAUUUAGCACAGGCUUUCCUGAGACAAUACAAUCAUGUCUCAGAAAUGAUGCCUGACAGGAUAACUCUGCAAAAUUUAGAGAAGAAAUCGAACGAAAGCUUCAGACAAUAUGCGCAGAGGUGGCGAGAGGUGGCAGUUCAGGUGCAACCACCGCUUUUGGAAAAAAAGAUGACGACGCUUUUUAUUAAUACUUUGAAAGCCCCGUUCAUCACUCACAUGUUGGGAAGCGCUUCAAAAAAUUUCUCGGAUAUAAUCAUGAAUGGUGAAAUGAUUGAGCAUGCCAUUAAAAGUGGAAAAAUAGAUGGAGGAGAAAAUAAUAGGAGGGCACCCUUGAGGAAAAGAUAAAAUGAAGUGAAUAAUGUGAAUGCUUAUGGUAGGUCAAUUACCGUGAAUCAACCAAAGAAAGUGGUUGCUAAUCAACAGGGAUCAUCAAGACAAGAGUCGGGAGCUAGGUAAACUACUGAAAAGCCCCAAUUCACGCCAAUCCCGAUGUCAUACAAAGAGUUGUAUCAGACUUUAUUCGAUGCACAUGUUGUUGCUCCUCGUUACUUGAGUCCUCUACAACCCCCGUAUCCAAAAUGGUAUGAUAUGAACGCGCAAUGUGAUUAUCAUGUGGGAAUUUCUGGGCACUCGAUAGAAAAUUGUACUGCCUUCAAGAAGGUAGUAGAAGGACUUAUCAAUUUAGGUGUCGUCAAACUUGACGACUCACCUAAUGCAAAGAAUCCGUUACCUAAUCACGCAGAUAAGGGGGUGAAUAUGGUUAGCGAAGAUACGGGAGAAGAAGUCAAGACUGACAUUGCUGAAGUAAAAACUCCAUUGAAACGGGUCUGGAAAGAAAUGGCGAAAAGAGGUUUGGUUAUUUCAGAUUCUGAGGAAGGGCAUGAGAUGGGAAAUUAUUGUGAAUUUCACCAUAAAACAGGGCACGAAAUCCAAGAAUGUGAAGGAUUUAAGGCUUUGGUUCAAAGCAUGAUGGAUAACAAGGAAAUGAGGUUUUACGAAGAUGCGAAAGAAAUGAGGAGCAUAUGCGCGACAGAGUUGGGAACAAAGGCUCCAAAAAUAAAUCAUCCUGUGGUCAUUAUCUCACGCCCUAAGGGUAAUGAGGUUAGGGCUCAGGUAACACCGAAAAUUGUAAUCCAGAAACCAUCAAAUUUCUCUUAUAGGGAUAACAAAAUGGUGCCGUGGAAUUACGGGUGUAAUGUGACCAUUUUGGGAAAAGAAGCAGAAAGAAAUCAGGAAAUAGGUUCUUACACGCGUAAUGGAAAAAGAUGUGACGCUCAAGCAGAGUCGUCCAGGGAAGAGAAUUGGAAGAAAGAACAGAGGAAAGGGAAAGCAGUAGAAGUUGAACCAUUGGUAAAUGAACCAAUAAAAGAAGAGGAGGCAAAGGAGUUUUUGAAGUUUUUAAAACACAGUGAAUACAAUGUUGUGGAGCAACUGCACAAACAGCCAGCCCGCAUUUCUGUAUUAGCUUUACUCUUAAACUCAGAAGUACAUCGGAAUGCACUAUUAAAGGUGCUAAACGAAACAUAUGUGGCUGACGAUAUUUCGGUAAACAAGCUGGAUCGACUGAUCAACAAUAUUGGUGCUGACAAUUUUAUCUUCUUCAGUGAUGAUGAAAUACCAUCCGGAGGAAGAGGUUCUACUAAAGCCCUGCAUGUUACUGUCCGAUGCAAAGGGUACACACUCCCGGGGGCCUUGGUUGAUAAUGGAUCUGCACUAAAUGUAUUGCCUUUGUCCACUCUUAGUCGAUUACCAAUAGACAGUUCGCACAUGAAAGCAUGCCAGAGCAUAGUAAGGGCAUUUGAUGGAACAAAAAAGGAGGUUAUGGGGAGAAUUGAGGUACCAUUAAGGAUUGGCCCAGUCACUUAUGAGGUGGAUUUCUUGGUAAUGGAUAUUAAACCCUCCUACAACUGUCUAUUGGGGAGACCGUGGAUACACUCAGCAGGGGCAGUACCUUCAUCAUUACAUCAGAAGGUGAAGUUGGUAUCGGAGGAUCGGUUGGUAACAAUAGAUGCAGAGGAGGAUAUUAUCGCAAUGAUGACUAGCGAUGCACCUUAUGUGGACAUCAACGAUGAGACACUAGAAUGUUCUUUUCGGUCGUUAGAAUUUGUGAACGCGAUGUUUAUUGCGGAGGGAAAUAGAAUUCCAGUACCGAAAAUAUCCAGGACCACUGAGAUGGGAUUGCGAUUGAUGGUAGGAAGAUGAGCCUUACCCGGGAAAGGAUUGGGAAAAUAUCUUCAGGGAAGGAUUGAGGCACCAAUGCCGAAGGAAAAGUUUGAUAGAUUUGGUUUAAGGUACAAGCCAGACAUGAAGCAGAAGAAGAAAGAAGUAGAGAAGAGACAAGAGAGAAGAAGGGCGCGUUUGAAUGGACAUGAAGCUAAGUGUGAGCCUUUAACCUUUCCCCACAUAUCUACAUCUUUUGUGUCGGGAGGAUUUAUUCAUUCUGAAUGUGGAGUGUCCGGUAGCGGCAUGGGAGGAAUGUUGGAAAACGUUUAUACUAACGCCAUAGAAGCAACGGAAAGGAGGGCUUUGUUGGAGAUCUGCCCUUAUGAGCCUGGAAGCGAGCUAAACAAUUGGACUGCUGAAGAAAUCCCUGUAGUCUUUAGGGCUUAUUCAGAGUAAUGCUCAAAACAUUCCUGUUGUUUGUUGGCCUAGAAACGAUAUGAAAUCUUUUGUGAAAUAGGCAUUGGGCCUAAAUAUCAUUAUUUUAAUGAAAUACGUGUCUACGUUCAUCUCGAUCAGUCACUUUUUUCUUUUAUAUUUUUCAUUUGGUUGAUUGUCUUACAAAUAAUUCUUUCAUUUAUAAUUCUUUUGCACAAACAUAUUCAUAAAUUUAUAUUCUUAGUAUAUUCUUUGAUCUGCCCUCAUAGGUCUUCAGAUAUCAAUGACAUGAGUGACGCUGCCUCAAACGCGGAGCCUAUUUUUGAGCAAGAAGUGUGUUCAGAGGGAUCCCACGACUUUGAAAAUGACGAAGAUUAUGAUGCAUCUCCGGACUUGUUAAGAAUGAUGGAACAAGAGGAUAAGCAUAUCCUACCUCAUAGGGAAUCGUUAGAAAUAGUGAGCCUAGAGGAUGGAAAUGAGGUGAAAAUUGGAACUGAAAUCACCGCAAAGACAAGGCAAGACCUCAUUAAUUUGCUCCGAGAGUUCAAGGAUGUUUUCGCGUGGUCGUACCAAGAUAUGCCUGGGCUAAGUACUAACAUUGUGGUGCAUCGUCUGCCCAUAAAGGAGGAUUGUAAACCCGUUCAACAGAAGCUUAGGAGAAUGAGACCUGACAUUGUGUUGAAAAUAAGAGAAGAAGUCAAAAGACAAUUCGACGCUAGUUUCUUACAAGAGGUCAAGUAUUCGGAUUGGGUAGCCAACAUCGUCCCUGUUCCCAAAAAAGAUGGAAAGGUACGAAUGUGUGUGGAUUAUAGGGAUUUAAACAAGGCUAGUCCAAAGGACAACUUUCCACUGCCUCACAUUGAUACUUUGGUAGAUAACACGGCGGGCUAUUCAUUGUUUUCUUUCAUGGACGAUUUCUCUGGAUACAAUCAAAUAAAGAUGCAUCCUGGAGACAUGAGGAAAACCACAUUCAUUACCUUAUGGGGAACAUUCUGUUACAAGGUAAUGCCCUUCGGAUUGAAGAAUGCGGGAGCAACGUAUCAAAGAGCUAUGGUGACUUUGUUUCACGACAUGAUGCACAAGGAGAUCGAAGUCUAUGUUGACGAUAUGAUCGCGAAGUCUAGAACGGAAGAAGAGCAUGUUCAGGUCUUGAAAAGGUUAUUUUUGAGAUUAAAGAAAUUUCAGCUCAAGCUUAACCCGGCCAAAUGCACGUUUGGAGCCAGAUCAGGGAAGUUAUUAGGCUUCAUAGUUAGCAAAAAGGGGAUCGAGGUUGACCCAGACAAAGUAAAGGAAAUACGAGAUUUACCUCCCCCGCGCACUCAGAAGGAGGUUCGAGGUUUCCUAGGGAGGCUGAAUUACAUUGCUCGGUUCAUCUCACAACUGACAGAGAAAUGUGAUCCAGUAUUCCGGCUCUUAAAGAAACAUAAUCCGGGCGAAUGGAAUGAAGAGUGUCAGAGGGCUUUCGAUAAGAUAAAGCAGUACUUGGCUAAUACUCUAGUCUUAUCACCUCCAAGUCCAGAUAGGCUAUUGAUAUUGUAUCUAACAGUGUUGGAGAAUUCCAUGGGAUGCGUAUUGGGCCAACAUGAUGAGACGGGAAAGAAAGAAAGGGCAAUAUACUAUCUCGGUAAGAAAUUUACCGAUUGCGAAAUGAGGUACUCAUCAAUUGAGAAGUUGUGUUGUGCUCUAAUCUGGGCAACCCGAAGACUGAGGCAGUAUAUGUUGUAUCACACAACUUGGUUGAUUUCAAAGUUAGAUCCUUUAAAAUAUAUGAUGGAAUCGACUGCUUUGAACGGGAGAAUGGCUAGAUGGCAGAUCUUGCUCUCAGAAUUUGAUAUAGUAUAUGUCAGUCAGAAGGCCAUAAAGGGAAGUGCAAUAGCCGAUUUCCUAGCUAGUAGAGCCUUGGAGGACUAUGAAUCUUUGAACUUCGAUUUUCCAAACGAGGACUUGAUGUAUGUGGCGAAUACUGAAGAAAAUCCUCAAAUGGAUCACGUAUGGAAGUUAAAUUUUGAUGGAGCUUCAAAUGCUACGGGUAAUGGAGUUGGGGCAGUUUUGGUAUCCCCAAGUGGAGAUCAUUAUCCUGUUGCUAGCAAGUUGGACUUCGAUUGUACAAAUAACAUGGCAGAAUAUGAAGCAUGUAUUAUGGGCAUUCGUGCAGCCAUUGAACGGAACAUCAAAGUACUGAGAGUAUACGGGGAUUCAGCGUUGGUGAUAUACCAACUCAAAGGGGAGUGGGAGACUAGAGAUCCUAAGCUGAUCGGUUAUAGAAAACUAGUUCUUGAAUUGGCUGAGGAGUUUGACGAUAUCACCUUCUAUUACCUCCCACGGGAGGAAAACCAAAUGGCUGAUGCAUUAGCUACUCUAGCUUCGAUGAUUCAGGUGAAUAGACUUGAGGCAAUGAGGCCUGUUCAGAUGAGUAUCUCUGAGACCCCGGCUAAUUGCUGCAAUAUUGAGGAGGAGGGAAAAGAUGAUUGUCCUUGGUAUCGGAGUAUCUUACAAUAUGUGAAGAAUCGGGAAUACCCUGAUCAAGCGACAGAGAAUGACAAAAGAACUCUGAGAAAGAGCAGAUCGAAGACACUAUCCUAUCUCCCUGAAGUUACAGUGGAGCGGAUUAAAAUAAAGGAUCUUAUCUCUCUGAGGUUACAGCAGAGUAGAUCGCAUCAAGUCUUAUUUCCCUGAAGAUGCAGUGGAACAGACUGAAAACAAUAAGGCGUGUCUCCUUAAAGUUGUAGCGGAGCGGACAGAAGAUAGUGAUUCUUAUCAUGUCUAAUCUUAUUCCCCUAAAGUUGUAGUAGAAUAGAUGGAAGCGAAGUCACAAACCUUGUCUCUCUGAAGUUGCAGUAAAGCAGGUUGAAGUCACGAAUCUUAUCCCCCUGAAGUUGUAGUGGGGCAAGUUGAAGAUAUGAGUCCGAUCUCCCCGAAGUUGCAGUGGAGCGGGUCAAAAUGAUGGACCUUACCCCCUGAAGCUACAAUAGAGUGGAUUGAAGCUACAAGUUUUGUCUUUUGGAAGUUACAGUGGAGUGGGUCGACGCAACAAGACACAGUGGACUAGAAUAAAGUUACUUGAAAAGAAGCGUCAAGAGAAGUCAAUACUCGGCAAAGACUGGACAAAAAUUGGUCUUUCUUAGUCUUUGCUCUGUUAUCGUUACACGACAACGAGCAAAGAGGGGCAGCUGUACAAGCCCAAUUUUUGACCCAGGGCCCAAUAACAAAUUUUAACCUAAAAAAACUACCCAGGCCCAACUAGCCUAACCCAAUCAGCCCAAAACAUAAACACCUAGCAGAAACCCUAGCCCCCUGUUGUGCCGCACCUGCUCCUGGCCGCCUCACCUGCUCCGCCGUUCACCUGCUUUCUGCCAUUGCCCAACUGCCCACCUGCAAACGAGUAAAGAAAGCAGCAACAACAACAAUGAAAAGAGGAGAAAUGACAGUGGUGUAAAAAAAAAUGGGUACACAAAUGGGUAUAUAAAAAAGGGCGGGGAUCACCGAAAGAGGGUCUUUUCCUUUUCUUUUGUAAUUUUUUCACAACACAACAGUUAAUGAAAAAAGGCAGAGAAAACAUUUAAAGGUGGAUUCAGACUUUUUAUUCUUUUUUUUGUUUGUUUUUAUGUUUGCUUGUUUAUAUAUAUACGAAUCUAUCUCAACAAAAACGAAAAUAAAAAAGAGAAAGAGAGAAACUCACCGGGGGGCUUUGAAAACCCGUCAUCGCACUUCGCCGGCCGUCGAUCUGGUGGCCGUGCGGCGGAUGUGCGAACGGUGGCAGCUAAGGAGGGCUUUUAAAAAAAACCCUAACAGAGAAAAAGCUAGAGGCUUUUUUUUUUUAUCUUCUAUUACAAAGUGUAUUUUUUAGGGGAAAUUUUAAUUUAAAUAGGAUCAGCUAAACGGCGCCGUUUUGGGUGGGAAAACCCCCGCGCGCGACCCGACCCGCGUCUCAGGAUCCACGUGUUUUGAUGAUUGGGUUAUUUACCCAUUUGGCCCUUCCGCCCUUUUGGGGUGUUUCAAUCUAGUCCUAUUUACAUUUUUAGAUUUUAUAAUUUUCGCCCAAAUUAUUUUUAGCGUUUUUGAUUUAGUCUUGCACUCAUAGAAUGGACACGUGUCCUAAUAAUUGGGAUAUUUUCCGUUUUGGCCCUCCGUCCUUUCGCGCGAGUCACAUUUUGGUCCUUUUCGUCCUUUUUAUUCCAAAUUCGCCCGGUAUUUCCUUUUUUUAUUUUAUUUCGAUUUAGCCCUUUUUUAGUCGCUUUAUUAUUUUGUUUAUUUUAUUAUUAUUAUUAUUAUUAUUAUUAUUAUUUACUAUUAUUAUCUUUACUAUUAUUGUUAGUAUUAUUACUACUAUUAUUAUUACUAUCAUUAUAUUUACACCUAUAUUUACUUAUAUAAAUCUUAGAUAAUAGGUGAUAUAUUAUAUUAUUAUAAAAUUGCGUAUAUACGUACAUGUAUAUGUAUUCUUUUAACUUAUUUAAUAUAUACAUACAAAAUCAUAUUUUCGUAUAUUUUUUAAUUUGUAUAUACAUAUACUUAUAUCUAUAUUUUCUAAUUUUUAUAAAUAUAUUUAUAUGUACAUACUUAUAUUUUUUAUAUACUUUCUAAUUCGUAUAUACCUAUUUACAUCUAUAUUUUUAAUAUAUUUUAAACAUAUAUAUAAAUAUCACUAUUUACUUUUUUAUUUUUAUUUUUUAUUAUUAUUUUCAAAUUUUGAUGUAUACUUACAUAUAUAUAUCUUUACAUUUUUAUAAUUUUAUUCAUUUAUUUAUUUACAUUUUCAUUAUUAUUUUGAACGAAUGCUUUAAUUUUAUUUGCUUGUAUACAUUGCUAUUUCGUAUGUUAUUGGUCUGUACCUUUUAUUUUUCUUAUUUUCGUUGCUAUUACUUGCAUUGUUUUUACAUCAUCGUAUUCAUAUUUAUUUAGUUACGCAUAUUAACAUCGUAUCUUAUUUUUACUGUUUCGUGAAAAAAAUAUUUCAUUCAAUGUAUGAAUUAUAACUUUUUGAGUAAACAAAAUUUCGUGUUUAGAUUUGAGAAAGUCGUACCCUAACUUACUGGGUUUCGACUUUCACAACAAAUCUAAAGACACGAAUCUUUUUAAACUCAAAUUUUAAAUGAUCUCGGGAUUAAAAAUCGCGUCCUAACUUACUGGUCGUGAUCUCAUUUUCAAAUCCGAGAUGGCUAAACCUAUCUUUUAAAUAAGCAUUUUUAUUCGCGUAUCGAGAACUCGAGACGUUGUAUCCUAACUCACUGGAUAUGAUGUCUUUUCUCGAUUAACGUGAAAUAUGCCACUUUUUCCAAGAUUUUCAACUUUUUAAUACAAAGAUCAUAUUUUUAAAAUUCUUUUAAAUUCUCAAUUUUCGACAUUAAGACAUUAAGUAAUCAACUAGGUACCAAUUUUGGGCGUAUCGAGGGUGCUAAUCCUUCCUCGUGCGUAACCGACUCCCGAACCCGUUUUCUAAAUUUCGUGGACCAAAACCGUUGUUUUAAUAAAAUCAAACCGUUUAUUAAAAACAACCCCUCUUCGAGGUGAUCCAAUCGCACCUCAUAAAAAAAAAAGAGGAUUGGUGGCGACUCCCGUUUCUUUUUUCAAAACCCAAGUCAACCCCGUUUUUCAUCCAAAAAAUGGUGUCAACAGAGAGGAGGAGGAAAAUAAAUUUAUGAAUAUUAUGCUCGCAUGGAUUUGCAUUUCAAAUGGUUAAUUUGCAUGAUUUGGGCUCGAGGACUAAAUUGAAUAAAAGUAAAACUUUAGGGGUAAUUUUGGAAAAAUGUCAAAAAAUGACUAAAUUCCAUGAAAUGAAUUGUUUUAUUAUUUAAAUUACUAAAUUGAAUGAAAUAUUAAUUUAGAUCAAUAUUGGGUGGAAAUUCGUGAAAAAUAGAAAUUUUUUAAAAUGUCCCUGAAUUUUGGUAUUUCUGCAAUUUAGCCUGGUAAGUUCUUAUGAACUAUAUUUUGUAUAAUUUUAAUUGAAUUGAAUGCUAUUUGGUAAUGAAUAUUAUAUAUAUAUGUGUGUUUGGAAUUGAUUUAUUAUUGGAUGUUUUGAAAUGAUUAUCGGAAGCUCGAUUGGGUUGGAAGCUUGUUGGAGAUAUAUCACAUUGUCCAUUGGUUCUAUCGGAAAUUUUGGAUGAUUUGAUUCUGGUUAUUGUAUAAGUUAAAUUGGUUAAUGUUAGCUCAUAAAAGUUUUGAUUUUGAUUGGUUAUAAAUAUGAAUGCUUGAUGAAAUGAAAUGUCUGAAAAUUAAUUUGUAAACUCCGAUAAUGCUCUAUAACCCUAUUCUGGGGAAGGAUACGGGUUAGGGGUGUUACAAAAAGCCUUCUCCUCUUGCCCUAUUACGGAUUGGAUUGAGAGCACCAAAGCCAAUGAGAACACAACCAAAAAAAACUUUUGCCAUCCUUUUUAUUUUCUAAAAAGGUUAAGAAAUAAGUAAAGAUAUAUUUUUAUUGAUGCUUAAGGAUGAAGAUGAGACAAAAUUUAAAGAUUUUAAAAUGAGACAUUUUGGGCGAAUUUAGGGGUCGUUGACUAGUCCAGUGCCUAAUAGCCAUACACGACAAAAAUACAUAUAACUUCUCUCCACAUUUUCAAUGGUGAUGUUUAUCACUAUUAUUGGUGGGUUCAAUUUACUUCACUUUGUUUCACUUGAAGACAUUGUGGGUGAUCAUUAAUGUGUUUUAAAAUCAUUCUGACCUUCCCUGUUUGCAUCAUCUGCACCAAUAAAAAACACUCCUUCUCCUUUUAUAGGUCAAUUUUUUUCAUGAAGCAACUUUAAACGUUACUAAUUUGUGGACCAAAAUCUAAAUAGCUUUCUUCUUCUAUAAUGAAGAUUGACUGUUAAAAAGAAUGUUCUUCUACUUGUCUAUAGGUAUCGAUCAUAGCACUGAUUGCCAAAUCAUUGCUUAGAGCUUGCUACCUAGACUUUUCAAAAAAAAAAGUCAAAUGACUAGGCCCGUUCUUGACAUUUUUGAGACCCUAGGCGGAACAAUAAAUUGGGGCCCCUUUUAAAAAAAUUAAAAAAUGUUAUGCAACAAAUAAAAAAAAUUGAGGCCAUUUUUUGAUCCCGUAAGAGCUUCUACUUUUGAUUCUGGAGAAGCUGCCACCCUUGAACUCAACAGUACCCUGUCAGCUUCCAAAGAUGCUGCCUCAUCAAAAGCCUUCUCCUCUUGUCCUACUACAAAUUGGAUUGAGAGCACCAAAGCCAUUGAGAACACAACCAAAAAAACCUUCACAAUCUUUUUUAUUUUCUAAAAUGGUUAAGAAAAAAAAAGUAAACAUAUAUUUUUAUUUAUGCUUAAGGUUGAAAAUGAGACGAAAUUUAAAGAGUUUAAAAUGAGAUAUUUUGGGCGAAUUUAGGGGUGGUUGACUAGUCUAGUGCCUAAUAACCAUACAUGACAAAAAUACAUAUAACUUUUCUCCACAUUUUCAAUGGUCAUGUUUGUCACAAUUUUUGGUGGUUUAAAUUUACUUCUUUUUGUUUCACUCGAAUACGUCGUGGGUGAUCGUUUAAAUUUUUUUAUUUUAUAAUUUUCACAUAUUUUUUUCAUUUAUUUAAAAUUUCAACCAAACAAAUUUUCUCAAUUUUUUUUCUACUUUUAGGAAAACAAAAAGAAAAAGAAAUCUUUAAUUUCUGAAACUAAAUAUACCCUAAACCUUUGCCUCCGACUCAUAAGAUAUUAAGAAUAAGGUAAUUAUUUGGUACACACGAAAUGUAAGUUUUUUAUUCCACAUAUGAAGUUGGGAUUUUGCCUCUUAUCAUAUAUAUAUUUAAUUUUUUGAAUAUAAAUUAAAUAAUAAAUAAUAAAAUCUCAACUAUAUUUAUGAAAUAAAAACCUUUCACCGUCACACCGAACAUUUCCCCUCGUGAUAUCACAAUAGUCUUUGUAAUCAUACUGACAAUCAUAAUGACAAAAGAAAGAAAAAGCUACGGGAUAUGAUAUUCACUACCCUCCAGUUAUGAGACUAUACAUAAUAUCGAUUGGAAGAAAUCGAAUUCAUAAAAAAUCCUACAAACUUAAUAGGUGUUUUUUUCAAGUAAGAAUAAUAAAUUUAGGGUCGAAAUUAAAUAGUAAUUUUUAUGAUAGUAAAAAUAUAAAUUUUAAAAGAUUAAAUCAAAAUUUUAUCAUUUUUAAAAAGUUAAAGUGCAACUUUCCUUUUACUAAUUUAAAAUUUUAAAAAUUUCUAAAAAGUCUAAAAGUAAAUGAUAAUAGAAUAAUUCUAAAAUCUGUCAUAUGCGCCAACUUGAGUUCUUGCGUCAAAUAUUUCGUGCUAUUUGCAUAUCCGCUCAUUUCUCGACACAUUGCAUAAUAAUUAUAAUUACUUAGAACAUGAUUAAAUGCCAAAUUAGAUAAAAUCCAUGUCAAAAAAUAAUCAAAAUAAAUAAUAAAAAUAUAUCGAUUAGCUGCAUUAUCAAUGUGUAAACCUAAUUUAAUGUCAAACUUAAAAGUUAAAAAUUUUCUUAUAUAUAAUGGUCAAACUAAAUUAUUGUUAAAUAUUAUAAAUAUUGAUAAUUAAUAAUAGUGUCCACACAUGAUUUUAAUAUUAAUGGUCAUAAUGUGUCAAACAAUUAAAAUAUUGACUUGUAAGAUUGUUUCCUUAAAUAUUGUAUAUAUUCGAGUUUUGCUAUUGUUGGGAGAAAAAAGUGAAAGGGUCUCGGCUCUCAGUAGUGUUGUGGAACUAAACUUUAAAUGUGGCUAAUUGUCUUGCAAGUCUUCCUUAUUUAUUAUUUUCUUUUUAUUCUCCUUCAACUGACUACAUUGUGUUUAAACAAACCCUUAAUCUAUUUUUGUAGUUAAAUAAGCCCUUAACUUGAUUUUUACUCAUAAAAUCCAUUUAUUUUAAUAUUAAAUUAAAUAUGUUUUACCCAUAUUAAAGGGCUUUUUAGUAUUUUAGCCCUGCUAGACUGUAUGUUGUAGAACCUGACACCUACAUUGCAGAAAUUGUUUGAUUAUUUUCAAUGCAUAAGAACCAAUGAAAACAUAGAUGGAAGGCUAAUAUACUAAAAGGUGCUUAAUCUAUUACACUUUGUUUAAACAAGCUUUUAUACUGUUUUUGUAGUUAAAUAGGCCCUCAAACUAUGAUUUUUACCCAUGAAAGUCCUAAAUUUUAAUAUUAAAGUAAUACUAUUUAAAAAAUAUAUAAAUUAAUUCGCAUUCUAUGUUGAUAUGAAUUUGAUGAGAAUAGUUUAUUAAAAAAAAUAAAAAUUUAAAAUUUGUUGAGAGUGCUUAUAUACAUGACAUGCUUAAUUACUAUUUUGAAAUUGCUGAUUACUUUUUUAGAUUUUAUGUUUCUGUUAAAGUGUAUAUAAUUUUUAUUGCAUCAACAAGAAAUUAAGAUGAGAGCUUGAAAUUCAAAAUAUAUUUACUUUAAUAUUAAAAUAAAAGACUUUUAUGUGUAAAACCCAUAGGUUAAGAGCUUAGUUAACUACAAAAAAAAGUUAAGGGCUUGUUUAAACACAAUAUAAUGAGUUGAAGGGGAAUAAAAAGAAAAAAUAUAUAACGAUGGUUUACAAGGCAAUUAGCCACAUUUAAGCGGCUCCCUUUCACUUCUUUUUCCAAUAGUCACUUAAAAUGGAAAUUUGCACUUCAAAUCCCUAAAUACUUUAAAUUAUUACAUCUCCGUUUGAUACCACUUGACACUAACAAAACAGUACAGUAAAAAACAUACCAUUUUGAUGUAUAUAUAUAUUCGGUUUUGUUAUUGUUUUUAACAUCGGCUUUUAAUUUAUCACAAUUUUUGGAUAAUUUAAAAAAAAUAAUAAUUAUAUUUUAAUUUAACAUAUAGAAAUUAAUGAGUCCUUGCAAAGCAAGAAUGUGUGUGACAGCGUGAUGAAUUUUUUCCCACACAAAAUCCAAAAGGAAUUAGGAAUCUUCAAAUUCGUCGGCCCAAACGUCACCCUUUUUCAGUGCUUCUCAUCAUUUAUAAAAACACUUCGAUUUCCUUUCUUUACUCCAAAUCCGACGUUCGUAAAAAAAGACCAGGUGAACUACCUACGCGCCGCCGUCACCACCAUGUCACAGCCUCAUUUCCUCCUAGUGACCUUCCCUGCACAAGGCCACAUAAACCCAACCUUACAAUUUGCCAAGCAUCUUAUACGUAUUGGCGUACGUGUAACUUUCAUCACCUGCAUCUCCGCUCGCCGCCGCAUGAGCAAAGUCCCCACUGCUCAAGGCCUAACGUUUUUACCCUUUUCCGAUGGCUACGACGACGGUUUUCAACCCGGCGAUGACAUAGACCAUUACCUAUCUGAAUUCAGGCGACGAGGCAAAGAAGCCAUCUCCGAGUUUAUAACAAGCAGUGAAAACGAAGGCAAACCCGUCACUUGCAUUGUCUACACCCUGUUCAUCCAUUGGGCCUCGGAGGUGGCGCGUAAACAUCACAUCCCGACAGCUUUACUUUGGAUUCAACCCGCCACCGUUUUCGACAUCUAUUAUUUUUACUUCAACGGAUACGAAACUACCUUUAAAGCUCAAGCUGAUGAAACAAACCCCCAGCGUUCAAUAAAAUUACCAGGUCUGCCGCUACUCGCCACCCGCGACCUUCCGUCGUUCCUAACCGCUUUAAACGUUUACCGUUGGGCACUGUCGUUAAUCCAAGAAAAAAUGGACGUCCUCGCUGAUGAAUCCAACCCCAAAAUCCUUGUUAACACAUUCGAUGCUUUGGAACACGAAGCAUUAAACGCCAUUGAAAAUUUCAACAUGGUCGGCAUCGGACCUUUAAUCCCAUUUUCUUUCUUGAACUCAAAUGACUCCUUGGAUAAUUCCUUGAGAACCGAUCUUUUUCAAUCCGAUUCAAAAGAUUACCUCCAAUGGUUAGACUCGAAACCAAAAUCGGCCGUCGUUUACGUUUCCUUCGGGAGCAUUGCGGUGUUAACGAAGCAACAAGUGGAGGAAAUCGCUCGAGCUUUAAUAUCCAGCCGGCGACCGUUUUUAUGGGUGGUGAGGAACCGGAAAGAUGGAGGCUACGAAGAGAAAGAAGAAGAUAAACUGACUUGCAGGGAAGAAUUGGAACAGUUUGGGAUGGUGGUUCCAUGGUGUUCGCAAGUGGAAGUACUGUUUCAUCCAUCCUUGGGUUGCUUCGUGACGCAUUGUGGGUGGAACUCGACGUUGGAGAGCAUGGUGGCCGGUGUACCAGUGGUGGCUUUCCCUCAAUGGACGGAUCAAAGGACUAAUGCGAAGCUGAUUGAAGAUGUGUGGGGGAAUGGGGUAAGAGUGAGUGCUAAUGAAGAAGGGAUCGUGGAACGGGAUGAGAUCGUUAGGUGCUUGGAUUUGGUGAUGGGGGAUGAUGAGAAAGGGAUGGAAGUGAAGAAAAAUGUAGAGAAAUGGAAAGGGUUAGCCACUGGAGCCGCCAUGGAAGGCGGCUCCAUGGAUAUGAACCUUAAAGCUUUUGUGGAUGAUAUUGCUGAAGGUUGUCGUAAGUAAAAUUAUCACUUUCAAAUCAAUUCAAUGUUUCAAUUCAAUUACCUGUAAUGUACUAUGCGUGCAAUUAUAGAUUUAAUAUAUAUUCUUUAAUUGAAUCAUUUUAAGUCACUAUUUUUUUCGAAUUCUAAAAUUUCCAUCUCGACACAAAUGAUAGUCACUAAUCCAUUAACUAAAAUUUCAAUAAGUAAUAUGUGAAAAUCGCAAACUGAAAUGCUAUUACACAUAUCAUAAUAUGUUUUGUUGCAUUAAAUUUUGAAAAUAACAGAAUUUAAUGAAUUUAACAAUUAUCGUUUAGUAAAGACUGAAAUUUUAAAAUUUUAAAAGUAAUAGAAUUAAAAAUAACCCAAUUAAAGUAUAAAUAUUAAAUCUACAAUUUUUAUAAAGUAAGACCAAUAAUAAAAUUUAAUAUUGUUUUUUUCUUGAAAGAAAUUGGAAGUGACCAUUAAGUACAAUAUGUGAUAGGGAUGGGAGAAUAUGAAUGGUGUGAUAGAUUUUGAAUGUAGGAAACAAACUUUUUUGAAAUGUGGUUGUAAGAUGGAGUGGGUUGGAUUUUUGUGUGUGUGGUCAAUGUGUAAUUCUUUGCCUUUAUAAAAGUAUCAUUUUAUCCAUUUAAUAUGUAUAACUAUUUAAAUAUGUAGAAAUGUGAAAAUGUAUUAUAGAAAAGCCUUUAUUUUUAAUUAAUGAGCUCUAACCGAUGAUUUAACAAUCAUAUGGUGGAUUAGUACUCAUCGACGAGUAGAGGAAAUCGCUUGAGCUUUAUUAUCCAGCUGACAACCGUUUUUAUGGGUGGUGAGGAACUGGAAAGAUGGAGGCUACGAAGAGAAAGAAGAAGAUAAACUGACUUGCAGGGAAGAAUUGGAACAGUUUGGGGUGGUGCUUCCAUGGUGUUUGCCAGUGGAAGUAUUGUCUCAUCGUCGUUGGAUUGCUUCGUGACACAUUGUGGGUGAAACUCGACGUUGGAAAGCAUGGUGGCCAUUGUACCAGUGGUGGCUUUCCCUCAAUGGACGGAUCAAGGGACUAAUGCGAAGCUGAUUGAAGAUGUGGGGGGAAUGGGGUGAGAGUGAGUGCUAAUGAAGAAGGGAUCAUGAAACGUGAUGAGAUUGUUAGGUGCUUGGGUUUGGUGAUGGGGGAUGAGGAGAAAGGGAUGCAAGUGAAGAAGAAUGUUGUGAAAUGGAAAGGGUUAGCGGAGAGGCCGCCAUGGAAGGUGGUUCCUUGGAUAUCAACCUUAAAGUUUUUGUGGAUGAUGUUGCUCAAGGUUGUUGCAAGUAAAUUUAUCUUUUCAUAUAAUUAUCUCCAUUUAUAUUUCGAAUUCUUAAAUCAAGAAAUAAUAUUUUUAAAAACGAUCAAAUUCCUCUUAACUGUUGUAAUAAUAAUAAUAAUAAUAUCAAAUUAAUGAUCUAAAAUUCGAUGGAAUGUUACAAAUAAAUUUCUAAUUUAUGUUUGUAUUAAAUUUAUGCUUAAAUUAAUUUUGGCCUAUGGUGUAAGUUUUUUUUAAAAAAAUUUUAAUGGCCAAAUUUAAUUAAUAACAUCAACAAUUGAAUUUUAAAUUUUAAGUCAAACUAAGAGACUAAAAUUUAAAAAUUAAAAGUAGUGGAUUAAAUUUUUAAAAAAAUUGCAAAAGAGUACAAGAAUUGGAGGUAUACUUAAAAAAAAUAUUAAAAUUUUCUUUUCUCCUCCAAUAAUAGAAUCUAAAGCUACGCACCUUUAUAAAAAUUAAAAAAAGAAUUAAUUGUCCAAGAUAAAUAUUAAAUAAUAAUAUUUAUGGACUUGAGUACAUGAAAUUUAUUGUUGGUCAUUUAAUUUAUCAUUUAACAAUUACUUUUGUUUUGGCUAUUGAGAAAAUUUUCUAGCCCUUAUAAUGUGUAUAUAUAUAUCUCCAUAUUAUUGGAUGUGUUUCUUUUUAUUAAAUUACAUAGCCUAAGGUUGCUUAUUGCGAUUAUGGUAAUUUGCUGCACCAUCCCCUGACUAAUUCUUCUCAUUUUUAGUGUUAGCAUUCUCCUACUUAAAAUCAGGGUCUCAUGUUGCUUUUUGAGCGUCAUUAUACCAUUCUCCUCUUUAACCCGCCGAAAAAUUCUGCUUUCGAUUCUGGAGAAGCUGCCACCCUUGAAGUCAAAAGUACCCUGUCAGCUUCCAAAGAUGCUGCCUCAUCAAAAGCCUUCUCCUCUUGUCCUACUACAAAUUGGAUUGAGAGCACCAAAGCCAUUGAGAACACAACCAAAAAAACCUUCACAAUCUUUUUUUAUUUUCUAAAAUGGUUAAGAAAAAAAAGUAAACAUAUAUUUUUAUUUAUGCUUAAGGUUGAAAAUGAGACGAAAUUUAAAGAGUUUAAAAUGAGAUAUUUUGGGCGAAUUUAGGGGUGGUUGACUAGUCUAGUGCCUAAUAACCAUACACGACAAAAAUACAUAUAACUGUUCUCCACAUUUUCAAUGGUCAUGUUUGUCACAAUUUUUGGUGGUUUAAAUUUACUUCUUUUUGUUUCACUCGAAUACGUUGUGGGUGAUCGUUUAAAUUUUUUUAUUUUAUAAUUUUCACAUAUUUUUUUCAUUUAUUUAAAAUUUCAACCAAACAAAUUUUCUCAAUUUUUUUUUCUACUUUUAGGAAAACAAAAAGAAAAAGAAAUCUUUAAUUUCUGAACCUAAAUAUACCCUAAACCUUUGCCUCCGACUCAUAAGAUAUUAAGAAUAAGGUAAUUAUUUGGUACACACCAAAUGUAAAUUUUUUAUUAAGUUGGGAUUUUGCCUCUUAUCAUAUAUAUAUAUAUAUAAUAUAAUUUUUUGAAUAUAAAUUAAAGAAGAAAUAAUAAAAUCUCAACUUGAUUUAUGAAAUAAAAGCCUUUCACCGUCCUACCGAACGAACAUUUCCCCUCGUUGUAUCACAAUAAUCAUUGUAAUCAUAAUGACAAUCAUAAUGACAAAAGAAAGAAAAAGCUGUGGGGUAUGAUAUUCACUACCCUCCAAUUAUGAGACUUAUAAUAGAGGGGAAUUAAGAAAAAAAAUUUUAGAGUCGAAAUUAAAUAGUAAUUUUUAUGGUAGUAAAAAUAUAAAUUUUAAAGGAUUAAAUUAAAAUUUUAUUGUUAAAAAAAAAGUUAAAGUGCAACUUUUCUUUUACUAAUUUAAAAUUUUAAAAUUUUUUAAAAAGUCUAAAAAAUAAAUGAUAAUAGAAUAAUUCUAAAAUCUUUGUCAUAUGCGCCAACUUGAGUUUUUGCGUCAAAUAUUUCGUGCUAUUUGUAUAUCCGCUCAUUUCUUGACACAUUACAUAAUAAUUAUAACUACUUAUAACAUGAUUAAAUUCCACGUUCUUAAAAGUAGAUUAACUACCUACGCGCCGCCGUCACCACAAAAUAUUUUAUAUUCGGUUUUGCAAUUGCUUUUAACUUCGGUCACAAACAAAAUUUUUUACUUACACAAACAAAAUUUUUUACUUAGUUAUUAAUAAUAAAAGUGGAUUAUUUUAUUAAAAAAUAAUUUAUAUUUUAUUUACGUUGUAUAAUAAUUAUAUCUACAUAAAAAAUAAUCGAUUAAAUUUCAAAUUACGUAAAAUUUAUUUCCAAAAUUAAUUAAUAUAAUUCAUAAAAAUACUUCGUAUUAUCAAUGUGUCAACUUAGUUUAAUGUCAAACUUAAAAAAAUGUAUAAUGUGAACAUGGCUAAAAAUUUUCUUUUUUAGAUAAAACCUUAAAAUAAUAUUUUACGGAUUUUUACUUAUAUAAUAUAAAAAAUUGAAAUUAAUAACUAAAAUAGCAUGCCCAUGAGAUUAUUUACCAAAAUGGUAUGUUUACUAUGGUGUUUUACUGGUGCCUCUUGUCAAAUUAGCAGUACCAAACUGAAAUGUAAUGAUCUAAAGUAUUUAGGGAUCGCAAAUUUUUCAUUUUGAGUGGUUGUUGGAGACAAAAGUGAAAUGGUGUCGAAUGUCAGUAGUGUUGUGGAACUAGACCUUAAAUGUGGCUAAUUUGCUUGCAAGCCCUCAUUAUUUGUUAUUUUCUUUUUAUUCCCUUUCAACUCACUACAUUGAGUUUAAACAAACCCUUAACUUAUUUUUGUAGUUAAAUAAGUCCUUAACUUGAUUUUUACUCAUAAAAUCCCUUUAUUUUAAUAUUAAAGUAAAUAUGUUAUACCCAUAUUAAAGGGCUUUUUAGUAUUUUAGCCCUGCUAGACUAUAUGUUGUUGAACCUGACACUUACAUUGCAGAAAUUGUUUGAUUAUUUUCAAUGCAUAAGAACCAAUGAAAACAUAGAUGGAAUGCUAAUAUACUAAAAAAUGUUUAAACAAGCUUUUAUACUGUUUUUGUAGUUAAAUAGGCCCUCAAAUUAUGAUUUUUACCCAUAAAAGUCCUAAAUUUUAAUAUUAAAGUAAAACUAUUUAAAAAAUAUAUAAACUAAUUCGUAUUUUAUGUUGAUAUGAAUUUGAUGAGAAUAGUUUAUUAAAUAAAAAAUAAAAAAUUAAAAUUUGUUUAGAGUGCUUAUAUACAUGACAUGCUUAAUUACUAUUCUGAAAUUUCUGAUUACUUUUUUAGAUUUUAUGUUUAUGUUAAAUUGUAUAUAAUUUUUAUUGCAUCAACAAGAAAUUAAGAUAAGAGCUUGAAAUUCAAAAUAUAUUUACUUUAAUAUUAAAAUAAAGAGCUUUUAUGAGUAAAACCUAUUGGUUAAGAGCUUAUUUAACUACAAAAAAAAGUUAAGGGCUUGUUUAAAUACGAUAUAAUGAGUUGAAGGGGAAUAAAAAGAAAAUAAUAUAUAAUGAUGGUUUACAAGGCAAUUAGCCACAUUUAAGCAGCACCAUUUCACUUCUUUUUCCGGUAGUCACUUAAAAUGGGAAUUUGCACUUCAAAUCCCUAAAUACUUUAAAUUAUUACAUUUCAGUCUGAUACCACCUGACACCAACAAAACAGUACAAUAACAGACAUACCAUUUUGAUGUAUAUAUAUUCGGUUUUGCUAUUGUUUUUAACUUCGGCUUUUAAUUUGUCACAAAAUUUUUGGAUAAUUUUUUUAAAAAAUUAAUUAUAUUUUAAUUUAACAUAUAGAAAUUAAUGAGUCCCUACAACAAGAAUGUGUGUGAUGACAACGUGAUGACUGUUUCUCCACGAAUUAGGAAUCUUCAAAUUCGUCAGGCCAAACGUCACCCUUUCAGUGCUUCUCAUCAUUUAUAAAAACACUUCGAUUUCCUUUCUUAGUUACUCCAAAUCCGAUGUUAGUAAAAAAAGACCAGGUGAACUACCUACGCGCCGCCGUCACCACCAUGUCACAGCCUCAUUUCCUCCUAGUGACCUUCCCUGCACAAGGCCACAUAAACCCAACCUUACAAUUUUCCAAGCAUCUUAUACGUAUUGGCGUACGUGUAACUUUCAUCACCUGCAUCUCCGCUCGCCGCCGCAUGAGCAAAGUCCACACUGCUCAAGGCCUAACGUUUUUACCCUUUUCCCAUGGCUACAACGACGGUUUUCAACCCGGCGAUGACAUAGACCAUUACCUAUCUGAAUUCAGGCGACGAGGCAAAGAAGCCAUCUCCGAGUUUAUAACAAGCAGUGAAAACGAAGGCAAACCCGUCACUUGCAUUGUCUACACCCUGUUCAUCCAUUGGGCCUCGGAGGUGGCGCAUAAACAUCACAUCCCGACAGCUUUACUUUGGAUUCAACCCGCCACCGUUUUCGACAUCUAUUAUUUUUACUUCAACGGAUACGAAACUACCUUUAAAGCUCAAUCUGAUGAAGCAAACCCCCAGCGUUCAAUAAAAUUACCAGGUCGGCCGCUACUCGCCACCCGCGACCUUCCGUCGUUCCUAACCGCUUUAAACGUUUACCGUUGGGCACUGUCGUUGUUCCAAGAACAAAUGGACGUCCUUGCCAAUGAAUCCAACCCUAAAAUCCUUGUUAACACAUUCGAUGCUUUGGAACACGAAGCAUUAAACGCCAUUGGAAAUUUCAACAU
rnacentral:lncRNA from 1 species